ACAACUGUAGCCGUCAACGUGUCGAACAACCAUCGGUAAGGAUCUGCUUCUCACCCUCCCCUCACCAGAACAAAAAUAUAUUUCUAGGGCAAAUCAUUUCAGCCUCCCCAACCGCCUCCAUCGUUCUCAACUCUGAACUUCCCUCUCUCUCUCCCUCUGCAACUGCAAACUACAAAAUCUACAAGAAUCAGAAGUUCAAAACCUAUAUAUUUCAGUUUAUCUAUCUGUCUGCAAGAAUUAAAACCUAUUACCUAUAUCAAAGCCCAUAUCGGCAUAUCAUUUCAGAUUGUUCCAAAAAUCAAAACCCAUAUCUUUCAGUUCCCAUCGCCCGCUGUUCCAGUUCGGGUUCGCCGUUCACAAGCUUCAGCCGCUGGCCCGCUGUCUCUCAACUCUCAAGCUUGCCUCCCCCCCUCUCUCUGCAACUGCUAACUUGGUUAGCAUCGGGCCUUAACAUUUAGCAAGAACAAGGUUCAACAAACAUGCCUCCUCAGUCAUCAGGUUUAUUUUCUGAAAGAAGAGAGUUGAUGGGAAUGGGUGGAGUGGGCAAAAAAAAAAUAGCUGCGAAGGCUCUAAAUUCUGCUGAAAUCACGGGGAAACAAAUGUCAGUCAUGUGGUAUGAGAGAGAUGCUGCAAUAAGAAAGAUGGGUUUUUCCAUAAUUAUAUUAGUGAACCUUGAAGCAUCAAUUAGCUGCUAUGAAUUGGAGUGCCUAUGUAGUAGCUAUGGGACGGUUAUGCGCACCAAAAUUGGUGAAAAGGUUGUGAAGCAAACUUAUUUUCGCUAUGGAAUAGUCCUGUUUGAUGAAGAGGAAUUUGCCCUUAAGGCUAUUCAUGAUCUUCAUGGGAUGAAGUUCAAUGGCAAAGAACUGUAAUUUCUCAACCUUAGUAGUUUGAUCUUUUGUUUUCGAAUGGGAAUCUCAACUUCUUUUUUUGUUUUUGGGCAAUUUUGUUCCAAAUAUGUGAAUGAGAGACUGAAGAAAAGGAACUCAAAGCGCAAGUUUGUCGACAGGCACAAUGAAUUGUCAGUAUGCUCAUAUGUCUAUGUAAAGAAUCUAAAUGAAUCAAUAGAUGAUUUGAAGUUGUUUCAGCUUUUUAGUGAUUGUGAAGGGAUAAUGUCUGCAAAGGUAAUAUAUAGCACCCGCGGGAAGAGUAGAGGAUUCGGAUUUGUGGGGUUUUGCAGUCACGAAGCAGCAAAGGAAGUCUGUUACGGAGGUGAAAUACUACGAAUGGGAAGGGAAAGUCUGAAAAUCGUGCAGACAUUUCAAUUCGGACCAUUAAAUCUUGGCACCAAUGAUGAAGGAGAUGAUGAAGAAGAUCCUCCAGAUGACCUUUUGAAGGCUGGAAUGAUUGGCAGAGAGGGUCAAAAUGAUAUCCAAGAAGGGCUGUCCGUGUAUGUUCUGGAUGGAGAUGAACCUGAUUUAGUAGACACACAGGAAAUGUUAGGUUGCAAUACUUACGAUGAAUUUGCAAGAAGAUUGCAUGCAUCGUGGGCAAAAGUUUUGAAUGAAGAACCUCUUGAGAUUGUCCACCUAUGCCGUUGACCUGGCCAGGUCACAUCUUAAAAUUUGAUUAUUUUGAUGUGAUGGAGGUAGGGCGUGUUGUCUUGGAUCCAUAUGCAGCGGACUGGGAUGAAUUUGGAUCUAUGUUGGAUAGAGUAUUGGCAACUCCUAGUAAUUGAGCAGAAACUGCUGAAAGAACUGUCAAUAGAAGGUGUCAAGGAUCGAGAGAAUGGAAAUUAAACCGUAAUUAGAGACGUGGAGGAUAACCAAUUGGGAAUGUUUGACCAACUGCUACCUUGCUUUGCUUGUGGAAAAGGAUGGUUUUCAUGGGUUUUUCUGCCCUUGUGUUUCUUCUAAUACUCUCUCUAUCAUGGAUAGACUUUUAUUUGCAGUCUUUUGCUUGGAUUUGUAUUCCCACUGAUGUGGUACUAUACUAUGCAACAAUUCUUUGCUUGGAUUUGUAUUCCCACUGAUGUGGUACUAUACUAUGCAACAUCCUAGGAUGAGUGUUCUUUAUGAUGUGAAGACAUGUUAUGUUUGCUCGUUAACUCCAUAGAAAAUCUUAAAUGUAUAUAUAUAAGCAAUUUGACCUGUG